GACGAACGCUGGCGGCGUGCUUAACACAUGCAAGUCGAGCGAUGAACCUUUCAUGAAUUUUUCGGAAUGAUUGGAAGAGGAUUAGCGGCGGACGGGUGAGUAACGCGUGAGCAACCUGCCUUAAACAACGGGAUAGCCUCGGGAAACCGGGAUUAAUACCGUAAGAGACCCCGCCUUCACAUGAAGAAGAGGUUAAAGAUUUAUCGGUUUAAGAUGGGCUCGCGUCUGAUUAGCUAGUUGGUGAGAUAAAAGCCAACCAAGGCAACGAUCAGUACCCGGCUUGAGAGAGUGAACGGUCACAUUGGAACUGAGACACGGUCCAAACUCCUACGGGAGGCAGCAGUGGGGAAUACUGCACAAUGGGGGAAACCCUGAUGCAGCGACGCCGCGUGAGCGAAGAAGGAAUUCGUUUCGUAAAGCUCUGUCCAAGGGGAAGAUAAUGACAGUACCCUUGGAGGAAGCCCCGGCUAGAUACGUGCCAGCCGCCGCAGUAA
rnacentral:rRNA from 1 species